UCUUAUAGUACUUUCUCUGCGAACAGACUAAGAAUUUUAGGGUCUGAUAAUCCCACCCCUGAUAUAAGCAAACAAGCUUUAAUAAAACUGAUAUCAGAGAUAGUGUCUUCAACUUUUACGUAGAACUAUGUAUUUUCAAAGUAACAUGUGAUUAGUGUGUGUAAUCGAAUAGGUAGAAGACGUCGUAGUUUAGAGAGCAAUCCAUUUUACCAAAUUGCGUCGAAUGCAUCUUCGAUGUUAAGGAAGAAUGCUGAACAAUAUUCCUUUUCUUCUGACCAGAGAAUUUGUUGAAUCAUACGAUGAUUUUCCUCAAUGGUAUCGUAUUUUUUUUGAAGGCCGAAUUGAUGGUUUGGUAUUAUGCCCUUGUUGUUGACGAUAGCAGAGAUUCUUUCGUGUAUAAGUUUUCUAUAAAUUUCAUGAUUGCUGACACUCUUCCAGAUUUCUGAAAUUGUUCGCGUUUCCAUCGCAACCUCCAUAUAUAAAUUCUACGCAUUUACCCAUCUCUACAUUGUAUCCGAAUCUCGGGAAAUAACCUCUGCACGUGCCCGUCGCCAAUGGUAAAGUACAAUCUGUUAAUGAUCGAAAAAUCCUUGCUAUUAAAAGCGAAUAUGACAAUUAUAAGACUAGUAAUCGAGAAUGUAAUCUUUAAGUUUAUACGAAUUAUUUUAUAAUAUUGACAAUACACUAUCUCACAGUAAGAAAUUCGUUUCUAUAAAAAUUCGAGAAAAAUUGAAAUUAUUUAAACAACAAAUUUAAAUACAAAUUAUGGCAUAUAAGUACGAAAUAUAACAAUAAAGUUCCUUACGUGAUGGUAUUUCGGCUGACACUUGAUGCACCGAAAGAGCGCAGCAAAGGACGACCAAAAGUAAUGCUAUGAAUUUAUGAUUCAUUGCAACUUGUUGAUUAAUCAGCGCAACUUCUAAUGGCUAUGCUUGUUAAUUCUGGCGUUAUAUAUACGUGUCGAUAACAUUUUUAUCGCUAUAGACCUUUUUAUAUAAUAAGUAUUGAUGACACAUGCGGAAAAAGUGAAGCACUCGAAAGAUUAAAUAUAGAUUGUGGGAACUCAUCUCUGCUAGUGAUAAAGAUAAGUAUGUUUGGUAAUUUAGAAUUUCCGAGGCAGAAUAUGUAAAUCUUUUUAAGCAAAUCCUAAUGGAUAAACAGUUAGAAAAAGACUGACAAUGCAUGUAUAUAAGAAUGAUAAAAGGUAAGUACCUAUGUAUAUAUAUAUGUCUGUAAUUGUCUUAUUACGUAGUAUGUGGAAGUUUGCUUCUUUGAUUCACUUUAGCGUAUAAUAGCCCGUCAAUAUCGGAAAUGUAUAGUAUUCAUAUGUGUAUGCAUGACUGACAUUUCCUGACUAUUCAAACUAACAGUUUCUUUGCUACAAUCGAAUGUUGGAAAGUCCCGAACCGUGAUCAAGAAACGGUCACAAGUGCGUGUGUUCUAUU
rnacentral:misc_RNA from 1 species